rnacentral:rRNA from 1 species
UCAAAAACAUGUCUUUUUGAUAAUAAUUUAAAGUCUAAUCUGCCCACUGAUAAAAUUAUUAAAGGGCUGCAGUAUAUUGACUGUACAAAGGUAGCAUAAUCAUUAGUCUUUUAAUUGAAGACUUGUAUGAAAGAUUUGAUGAAAUAUGAACUGUCUCUAAUUUAAAAAUAAAAUUUAAUUUUUUAGUCAAAAAGCUAAAAUAUAAUUAAAAGACGAGAAGACCCUAUAAAGUUUUAUAUUUUAUUUAUUUAUUAUUAAAUAUAAAAUUAAAUAUAAUAUUUAAAUAAAUUAUUUUAUUGGGGUGAUGGAAAAAUUUAAUAAACUUUUUUUAAAUAUAAACAUAUAUAAGUGAAAAAAUGAUCCAUUAUUAGUGAUUAAAAGAAAAAAUUACUUUAGGGAUAACAGCGUAAUAUUUUUUUUUAGUACAAAUAAAAAAAAAAGUUUGCGACCUCGAUGUUGGAUUAAGAUAAAAUUUAAAUGCAAAAGUUUAAAAUUUUGAUCUGUUCGAUCAUUAAAAUCUUACAUGAUCUUAGCU